rnacentral:lncRNA from 1 species
GGAAGUGUAUGCCAAAGGCUGCCUCUGGAAGAUUGGCUGAGGCUUCUGAAAAAAAGGCCUGUAUCCUCAUGAACAGACAGUGGCUAUGUGGGACUGCUGACAUAGAUGGGAUGUCAUGGGAGCGAUGUCACACUUGACGUAGCCCUUCAGCCCAGCUGAGAUGUCAUCUGGGUCUGACAGGAUAGCCCACUUGUGAUGGAACUGGUGUUCUGCAGAUGGAGAAAACCUAGGGGACAUGGUCAACCUACCUCACCGUGCCAGAAUCACGUAAUCUUCGCUGUUCAUCUGAAGACAAUCUCUACGGUAUUGCUGGGAGCUGUAGUUGACCCCUCUAAACUCAUCCUAUAUCCCUGGAGUGUCUCAAAGGCCCUGAAGACCAAUGCUUCCAAUACUUUUCCACUCUUCCUUAAUGUUAGUGCCU